GAAAUGCGAUAAGUAAUGUGAAUUGCAGAAUUCAGUGAAUCAUCGAAUCUUUGAACGCACCUUGCGCUCUUUGGUAUUCCGAAGAGCAUGCCUGUUUGAGUGUCAUUGAAUCAUCAAAUUAUUCAAUUUUAUUAUUGGGUACAUUUGGAUGUGGAAGUGUUGUUGGCCUCCUGGUCAGCUCUUCUAAAAUGCAUUAGCUGGAAGCUUUUGUAGCCAUCUAUUGGUGUGAUAAUUAUCUAUACCAUUGAUAGCUACACUUUGUAUAAGCCUUCUGCUUCUAAUUGUCUAGCUUAUUAGACAGUGUUUGACAAUUUGACCUCAAAUCAGGUAGGACUACCCGCUGAACUUAA
rnacentral:rRNA from 1 species